AUUGAACGCUGGCGGCAUGCUUUACACAUGCAAGUCGAACGGUAACAGGGUGCUUGCACCGCUGACGAGUGGCGAACGGGUGAGUAAUGCGUCGGAACGUGCCGAGUAGUGGGGGAUAACGCAGCGAAAGUUGUGCUAAUACCGCAUACGUACUGAGGUAGAAAGUGGGGGACCUUCGGGCCUUACGCUAUUCGAGCGGCCGACGUCUGAUUAGCUAGUAGGUGAGGUAAAGGCUCACCUAGGCGACGAUCAGUAGCGGGUCUGAGAGGAUGAUCCGCCACACUGGGACUGAGACACGGCCCAGACUCCUACGGGAGGCAACAGUGGGGAAUUUUGGACAAUGGGCGAAAGCCUGAUCCAGCCAUGCCGCGUGUCUGAAGAAGGCCUUCGGGUUGUAAAGGACUUUUGUCAGGGAGGAAAUCCCUAGUACUAAUAACACUGGGGGAUGACAGUACCUGAAGAAUAAGCACCGGCUAACUACGUGCCAGCCGCCGCCGUAA
rnacentral:rRNA from 1 species